UACGUAGGGGGCAAGCAUUGUCCGGAAUCAUUGGGCGUAAAGAGCGUGUAGGCGGCCCGAUAAGUCCGCUGUGAAAGUCCAGGGCUCAACCCUGGGAUGCCGGUGGAUACUGUCGGGCUCGAGUCCGGAAGAGGAGUGUGGAAUUCCUGGUGUAGCGGUGAAAUGCGCAGAUAUCAGGAGGAACACCAAUGGCGAAGGCAGCACUCUGGGACGUGACUGACGCUGAGACGCGAAAGCGUGGGGAGCAAACAGG
rnacentral:rRNA from 1 species